AAUGAACGUUGGCGGCGUGGAUUAGGCAUGCAAGUCGAGCGGAAAGGCCCGCAAGGGUACUCAAGCGGCGAAAGGGGGAGUAACACGUAGGUUACCUACCCUCCGACCCGGGAUAGCUGAGGGAAACUUCAGGUAAUACCGGAUAACGUCUCCGGACCAAAGGUGUGAUUCCGUCGGGGGAGGGGCCUGCGUCCUAUUAGCUUGGUGGGGAGGUAACGGCUCACCACGGCAAAGAUGGGUACGGGGUGUGAGAGCAUGCCUCCCGCUCACUGGGACUGAGACACUGCCCAGACACCUACGGGUGGCUGCAGUCGAGGAUCUUCGGCAAUGGGCGCAAGCCUGACCGAGCGACGCCGCGUGCGGGAUGAAGGCCUUCGGGUUGUAAACCGCUGUCAGGGGGGAGGAAAUGCUACGGGGUUCUCCCCGUAGUUUGACCUAGCCUCAGAGGAAGUACGGGCUAAGUUCGUGCCAGCCGCCGCAGUAAUAC
rnacentral:rRNA from 1 species